AAGUCGAGCGGACCAAUAGAAAAGCUUGCUUUUCUUGAGGUUAGCGGCGGACGGGUGAGUAACACGUGGGCAACCUACCUGUAAGACUGGGAUAACUUACGGAAACGUGAGCUAAUACCGGAUAGUUUCACUUCUCGCAUGAGAAGUGAAGGAAAGAUGGCUUCUAGCUACCACUUACAGAUGGGCCCGCGGCGCAUUAGCUAGUUGGUGGGGUAAAGGCCUACCAAGGCAACGAUGCGUAGCCGACCUGAGAGGGUGAUCGGCCACACUGGGACUGAGACACGGCCCAGACUCCUACGGGAGGCAGCAGUAGGGAAUCUUCCGCAAUGGACGAAAGUCUGACGGAGCAACGCCGCGUGAGCGAAGAAGGUCUUCGGAUCGUAAAGCUCUGUUGUUAGGGAAGAACAAGUACCGGAGUAACUGACGGUACCUUGACGGUACCUAACCAGAAAGCCACGGCUAACUACGUGCCAGCAGCCGCGGUAAUACGUAGGUGGCAAGAGUUGUCCGGAAUCAUUGGGCGUAAAGCGCGCGCAGGCGGUCCUUUAAGUCUGAUGUGAAAUCUUGCGGCUCAACCGUAAGCGGUCAUUGGAAACUGGGGGACUUGAGUGCAGGAGAGGAAAGCGGAAUUCCAUGUGUAGCGGUGAAAUGCGUAGAGAUAUGGAGGAACACCAGUGGCGAAGGCGGCUUUCUGGCCUGUAACUGACGCUGAGGCGCGAAAGCGUGGGGAGCAAACAGGAUUAGAUACCCUGGUAGUCCACGCCGUAAACGAUGAGUGCUAAGCGUUGGAGGGUUUCCGCUCUUCAGUGCUGCAGCUAACGCAUUAAGCACUCCGCCUGGGGAGUACGGUCGCAAGACUGAAACUCAAAGGAAUUGACGGGGACCCCGCACAAGCGGUGGAGCAUGUGGUUUAAUUCGAAAGCAACGCGAAGAACCUUACCAGGUCCUGACAUCUCCUGACCACCCUAGAGAUAGGGCUUUCCCUUCGGGGACAGGAUGACAGGGGGUGCAUGGUUGUC
rnacentral:rRNA from 1 species